CGAUUCUCUCUCUCUCUCUCUCUCUCUCUCGUUUCUCUCUCUUCACGCAAAACGGCCAGCCACUUUGGCCGGCGAUUUCUCCCAACUCCGGCCACCGUUUCAGGCGGGACCGGUCCCAAAAUCUUCCUCUCAACGUCCUCUUUCUAGCCUAGUUAUUUUCGCAGCUCGAAAACUUAAGGAUUGGCGGUUGGAACGACGGGAAGUUUCGGCAGCAGCUGCCACCGUCGCCGUCGACGUUUCAGGCCACCUCGCGCUGGUUCAAAAGUGGGUUCUGAUUCUGAACCAAAGCAAAGUCAUUGCAGCAUCGCACCGCAGAGAUUUUACAAGUACAAAUAUGGAGCCCGAGGUGGUUCAUGCAGAGCUGGUGUUGCCAACCCACUUGAGCUUCAAGCGGAUUCAAAUGUACGAGAAGUACCCAAAAGGCCAAUCAAGAGGGAGACACUGGAAACACCUCAAGCAGAUCAUUCAGGCCGAGAAUUACCAGAAUUACCCACCCAAUGAACCCAAUUAUGUUAAUAUAGAGUCGCCGCCCUCUAUGCAUCCAUGCAAGAGAAUUUGUGAUAUAACAGGAUACGAGGCACCUUACUAUGACCCAAGGACUGGCCUCCGCUAUGCCAAUGCUGAUAUCUUCAAGCUCAUAAGAUCUCUCCCCAAUGAAUAUGUCCAAAGAUAUCUGGCUCUCAGAAAUGCUGCUGUGGUUUUGAAGUAACAUUUGGUACUUUUCAGCUUCCCAAGGCAGGAUUCACUUUUUCUCGGCUUCAAUUAUCCUUGAAACUGGAAAUAUUGUAACUGUGGAUCAGUUGAAAAGGGAGAUUUUAGAGUAAUCAAUUUGGGCUGUUUGUUAUUAGGACUCUUACUAUUCACCAAUUUGAUGCUAAAGGAGGAACAGAAAGCAACAGCUUGUUUUGAAAUGACAGAAUCACACAAAUACAUCAUUGAUCAAUGUAAGCCAAUGCUGUGUCUACCCUAAUGAAGGACAACAACAUUUAGGUCCGUAGGGAUUAUGACCUUGUCCUUACAACUUAUGUAACCAAAUAAAAUGAAACUAAUGAAAUUUACGGAAUUCAUAAAACUCGGAAGCAUAUUGAUGCAACCCAAAAAUAUUAAGGAAACUAUUGUUCAAGUUAUUCCCAUGCAACAAUAGCAAUACCGCAUCAGUAAACAUGAAUAGGAGGAGCCUCAUGAGAUUCGUCAUAUUUAUUCAAAGUGGCAGGUCCCGAUCAGCUCAGGGUUAGGCUUCCCACCCUCGGAGGACAGUUGCCCUUGCAACGCGGUUAACCCCAAGCGUGAAGGCUCCCAUCCGGAGGUCACAGUUGUGGGUUUUGCACAUCUCCUUCACAUCUUUGAAGCCCUUGGUCAUGUAAGUCCUCAGCUCAUUGUUCACCUUUUCUUCAUCCCACAAGAAACCUUGGAUGUUCUGCACCGCAAAACCCACUAAAUUUAGUAAAACUAUAUUUGCUAAAGUUAGAAUGUUGUUCAGAGUUGAAUAAGAAGUGAUGUGAAGAUAUGUAUGAUACCUGUACCCACUCAAAGUAACUAACAGUAACUCCUCCAGAGUUUGCAUAUAUAUCGGGAAGAAUUACAACACCUUUCUUUGAUAA